GUCAGCCGCAUCACCAGGACCCAUCACAUGUAGGUCAGGUGACCUUCAGAAAGAUGGAAACGUAUUGCUUCAUUGCCUCAUGAGGUCCCACACUGAACCCUGGUCCUGCUACAUUUCCCACCCGAACGCGAGGCUCUGAAUGGAUGAAUGGCCGCCGUUUGUGAAGGACAGUAGAGAGUCGACAGGAAAGGACUGGGGGGAGACAGUGGAGCGGGAUCGGAAAAGGACCUUGAGACGGGAAUCGAACUAGUGUCUCCAUGAGCACAGUUGCGCUAUAUGUUGAUGCACUAACCACGAGGCUAUUGGCGUCAACAUGGUACUGGACAGUAGAUUAAUGUCGGCAGACGUGAACUUGAAAAAUAGUGUGAAUAAAUUUU
ensembl:lncRNA